rnacentral:rRNA from 1 species
UAGGGAAUCUUCCGCAAUGGACGCAAGUCUGACGGAGCAACGCCGCGUGAGUGAAGAAGGUUUUCGGAUCGUAAAACUCUGUUGUUAGAGAAGAACAAGUGCUAGAGUAACUGUUAGCGCCUUGACGGUAUCUAACCAGAAAGCCACGGCUAACUACGUGCCAGCAGCCGCGGUAAUACGUAGGUGGCAAGCGUUGUCCGGAUUUAUUGGGCGUAAAGCGAGCGCAGGCGGUUCCUUAAGUCUGAUGUGAAAGCCCAGCCCCCGGCUCAACCGGGGAGGGUCAUUGGAAACUGGGGAACUUGAGUGCAGAAGAGGAGAGUGGAAUUCCAUGUGUAGCGGUGAAAUGCGUAGAUAUAUGGAGGAACACCAGUGGCGAAGGCGACUCUCUGGUCUGUAACUGACGCUGAGGCUCGAAAGCGUGGGUAGCAAACAGGAUUAGAUACCCUGGUAGUCCACGCCGUAAACGAUGAGUGCUAAGUGUUGGAGGGUUUCCGCCCUUCAGUGCUGCAGUUAACGCAUUAAGCACUCCGCCCUGGGGAGUACGACCAGUGUAA